UUAAUAAGAGACUCGGCUUUUUCGUCGGUUGUUAUUUGAAUCAACCUCGGAAUCAACUUAAGACAAGAUCAAGGAUCGACAUACAACCUAGUCUGGAUUCAGGAGUAUAAAUUGCGUGGAUCAGUGGAAGUGACACCAACCAUCUGAGCCAAGCUGCUGGACUCGAUCCACAGCAACUUGAAACCAAACAACUAUAAUAGUUUGCCCCAAUUUUUCCUGCUUGAACUUAUAGCCCUGGAAGUGAUGGACCAAAGCUACUGGUGAGAAAAAAAAAUCAGAGGCAACACUACUACAGUAUACGGGUACUAAUUCAAUUUCGAAAUUUGGCUGCUAAACAAGCAAAAAAGAAAAACCGGAAUUCGAAAAAGAAAAAUCCGAAAAACCGACUUGUGAAUUAUUCAUUUGCCCUAGAAGGGUUUUUGUGUGGAAUCUAAAGGCUGGAUAAGGUGAUCUUGAUGAGACGCCUUGAUAACACAACGUUGUUCACCGAGAGGUGUUGGCACGCAGUGGCGUCUCCGUUCGCAGUCUCAUCCAGCUGAAUCCAAGAUGAACACCUCUCUCAUUCUGUUGUUGACAUUGGGCAUCACUGCUGUCAUGGUGGAUGGAGCUCUUUACAGACGCUACGGUCCUCUUCCGGGCGGAUCGCUCCAGCAGGAUCCGAUUUAUAAUCGCCAGCAGCAGCAGCAGCGCUAUCAUAACGAUGAAUUUAAAGAUUACCGCCAUAAACAUCAAUACCAUCCGUUCCCAAUCACCUUAGUGUACGGUGCAAUAACCAACAGUCCCAUCAGGAGCAAUUAUCCUCACUAACCUGCAAGAGUUGAUCUUUUGCUGGAAUACUUUAUACGCGAUUCUACACGUAUAAAAUUGCGUUUUAUAAAAAUAGUUGAAUACAUUUUCAAGUAGUUACCGAA